GAUGAACGCUGGCGGCGUGCUUAACACAUGCAAGUCGAACGGUGAAGGCGGAGCUUGCUCUGCUGGAUCAGUGGCGAACGGGUGAGUAACACGUGAGCAAUCUGCCCCUGACUCUGGGAUAAGCGCUGGAAACGGCGUCUAAUACUGGAUACGAGCUGCGAAGGCAUCUUCAGCAGCUGGAAAGAAUUUCGGUCAGGGAUGAGCUCGCGGCCUAUCAGCUUGUUGGUGAGGUACUGGCUCACCAAGGCGUCGACGGGUAGCCGGCCUGAGAGGGUGACCGGCCACCCUGCGACUGAGACACGGCCCAGACUCCUACGGGAGGCAGCAGUGGGGAAUAUUGCACAAUGGGCGAAAGCCUGAUGCAGCAACGCCGCGUGGGGGACGACGGCCUUCGGGUUGUAAACCUCUUUUAGCAGGGAAGAAGCGAAAGUGACGGUACCUGCAGAAAAAGCGCCGGCUAACUACGUG
rnacentral:rRNA from 1 species